GGAAUAUUGGGCAAUGGACGCAAGUCUGACCCAGCCAUGCCGCGUGCAGGAUGAAGGCGCUCAGCGUUGUAAACUGCUUUUAUUGGUGAAGAACUAUAGUCCUGCGGGAUUAUUUGACGGUAGCCAAGGAAUAAGCACCGGCUAACUCCGUGCCAGCAGCCGCGGUAAUACGGAGGGUGCAAGCGUUGUCCGGAUUUAUUGGGUUUAAAGGGUGCGUAGGUGGUCAUUUAAGUCUGAUUUGAAAGCAGGCGGCUUAACCGUUUGAUGUGGUUGGAAACUGAAUGACUUGAAUGGGUUGGCGGUAGCCGGAAUGGGUCAUGUAGCGGUGAAAUGCAUAGAUAUGACCCGGAACACCGAUUGCGAAGGCAGGCUACUACGACUUGAUUGACACUGAGGCACGAGAGCAUGGGUAGCGAACAGGAUUAGAUACCCGAG
rnacentral:rRNA from 1 species